AUUGAACGCUGGCGGCAUGCCUAACACAUGCAAGUCGAACGGCAGCACGGCAGUAGCAAUACUGUGGGUGGCGAGUGGCGGACGGGUGAGGAAUACGUCGGAAUCUGCCCAGUCGUGGGGGAUAACUAGCCGAAAGGUUAGCUAAUACCGCAUACGACCGAGAGGUGAAAGCGGGGGACCGCAAGGCCUCGCGCGAUUGGAUGAGCCGACGUCGGAUUAGCUAGUUGGAGGGGUAAAGGCCACCAAGGCGACGAUCCGUAGCUGGUCUGAGAGGAUGAUCAGCCACACUGGAACUGAGACACGGUCCAGACUCCUACGGGAGGCAGCAGUGGGGAAUAUUGGACAAUGGGCGCAAGCCUGAUCCAGCAAUGCCGCGUGUGUGAAGAAGGCCUCGG
rnacentral:rRNA from 1 species